rnacentral:rRNA from 1 species
GAUGAACGCUGGCGGCGUGCCUAAUACAUGCAAGUCGAGCGAACGGACGAGAAGCUUGCUUCUCUGACGUUAGCGGCGGACGGGUGAGUAACACGUGGAUAACCUACCUAUAAGACUGGGAUAACUUCGGGAAACCGGAGCUAAUACCGGAUAAUAUUUUGAACCGCAUGGUUCAAUAGUGAAAGACGGUCUUGCUGUCACUUAUAGAUGGAUCCGCGCUGCAUUAGCUAGUUGGUAAGGUAACGGCUUACCAAGGCAACGAUGCAUAGCCGACCUGAGAGGGUGAUCGGCCACGCUGGAACUGAGACACGGUCCAGACUCCUGCGGGAGGCAGCAGUAGGGAAUCUUCCGCAAUGGGCGAAAGCCUGACGGAGCAACGCCGCGUGAGUGAUGAAGGUCUUCGGAUCGUAAAACUCUGUUAUUAGGGAAGAACAAAUGUGUAAGUAACUGUGCACAUCCUGACGGUACCUAAUCAGAAAGCCACGGCUAACUACGUG